UACGUAGGGUGCAGGCGUUAAUCGGAAUUACUGGGCGUAAAGCGUGCGCAGGCGGUUUGCUAAGACAGGUGUGAAAUCCCCGGGCUUAACCUGGGAACUGCGCUUGUUACUGGCAAGCUGGAGUGUGGCAGAGGGGGGGUGGAAUUCCGACGUGUAGCAGUGAAAUGCGUAGAGAUGUGGAGGAACACCGAUGGCGAAGGCAGCCCCCCUGGGCUAACACUGACGCUCAUGCACGAAAGCCAGGGGGAGCGAACGGG
rnacentral:rRNA from 1 species